UACGUAGGGUGCGAGCGUUAAUCGGAAUUACUGGGCGUAAAGCGUGCGCAGGCGGUUAUUUAAGUCAGGUGUGAAAGCCCUGGGCUUAACCUAGGAAUUGCGCUUGAGACUGGAUAGCUUGGAGUGCGGCAGAGGGAGGUGGAAUUCCACGUGUAGCAGUGAAAUGCGUAGAGAUGUGGAGGAACACCGAUGGCGAAGGCAGCCUCCUGGGCCAGCACUGACGCUCAUGCACGAAAGCGUGGGGAGCAAACAGGAUUAGAUACCCUGGUAGUCCACGCCCUAAACGAUGUCGACUGGUUGUUGGUGGGGUUAAACCCAUUAGUAACGAAGCUAACGCGUGAAGUCGACCGCCUGGGGAGUACGGCCGCAAGGUUAAA
rnacentral:rRNA from 1 species